AACGAACGCUGGCGGCAUGCCUAACACAUGCAAGUCGAACGAGACCUUCGGGUCUAGUGGCGCACGGGUGCGUAACGCGUGGGAACCUGCCCUUAGGUUCGGAAUAACUCCCUGAAAGGGGUGCUAAUACCGGAUAAUGUCUUCGGACCAAAGAUUUAUCGCCUUUGGAUGGGCCCGCGUUGGAUUAGCUAGUUGGUAGGGUAAAAGCCUACCAAGGCGACGAUCCAUAGCUGGUCUGAGAGGAUGAUCAGCCACACUGGGACUGAGACACGGCCCAGACUCCUACGGGAGGCAGCAGUGGGGAAUAUUGGACAAUGGGCGAAAGCCUAAUCCAGCAAUGCCGCGUGAGUGAUGAAGGCCUUAGGGUUGUAAAGCUCUUUUACCCGGGAUGAUAAUGACAGUACCGGGAGAAUAAGCACCGGCUAACUCCGUG
rnacentral:rRNA from 1 species